ensembl:lncRNA
UAGAUUGUGGUGGUGUAGAUGCCGGUGGCGUUGUAGAUGGUCGUGAAGAUUGUGGUGGUGUAUUUGGUGGUGGUGUUGUAGAUGUUGGUGAUGGUGUAGAUGGUGGUGGUGGUGUAGAUGUUGUAGUGAUGGUGGCGGUGGUGUAAAUGGUGGUGGUGGUGUAGAUAGUGGUGGUGUAGAGGCUGGUGGUGAUGAUGUAGAUGGUGGUGGUGUAGACGGUGGUGGUGUAGAUGGUGGUGGUGGUAUAGAUGGUGGUGGUGGUAUAGAUGGUGGUGGUGGUGUAGAUGCUGGUGUAGAUGCUGAUGAUGCAGAUAGUGGCUGUGUAAAUGGUGGUGGUGGUGUAGAUGGUGGUGGUGGUGGUAGUGGUGGUGUAGAUGGUGGUAGUGGUGUAGAUGGUGG